rnacentral:rRNA from 1 species
UCCGCCAGGGUACUACGAGCACAGCUUAAAACCCAAAGGACUUGGCGGUGUCUCAGACCCACCUAGAGGAGCCUGUUCUAGAACCGAUAACCCCCGUUAAACCUCACCACUUCUUGUUUUCCCCGCCUAUAUACCGCCGUCGUCAGCUUACCCUGUGAAGGCUUAGCAGUAAGCAAAACGGGCCCACCCAAAAACGUCAGGUCGAGGUGUAGCGUACGAAGUGGAAAGAAAUGGGCUACAUUUUCUACAAACAGAACACUACGGACAGCAUCCUGAAAAAAUGCCUAAAGGUGGAUUUAGUAGUAAAAA